AGUGAACGCUGGCGGUAGGCCUAACACAUGCAAGUCGAACGGCAGCACAGUAAGAGCUUGCUCUUACGGGUGGCGAGUGGCGGACGGGUGAGGAAUACAUCGGAAUCUACUUUUUCGUGGGGGAUAACGUAGGGAAACUUACGCUAAUACCGCAUACGACCUACGGGUGAAAGCAGGGGAUCUUCGGACCUUGCGCGAUUGAAUGAGCCGAUGUCGGAUUAGCUAGUUGGCGGGGUAAAGGCCCACCAAGGCGACGAUGCGUAGCUGGUCUGAGAGGAUGAUCAGCCACACUGGAACUGAGACACGGUCCAGACUCCUACGGGAGGCAGCAGUAGGGAAUAUUGGGCAAUGGGCGCAAGCCUGAUCCAGCCAUACCGCGUGGGUGAAGAAGGCCUUCGGGUUGUAAAGCCCUUUUGUUGGGAAAGAAAAGCAGCAGGUUAAUACCCCGCUGUUCUGACGGUACCCAAAGAAUAAGCACCGGCUAACUUCGUG
rnacentral:rRNA from 1 species